rnacentral:rRNA from 1 species
GUCUACGACCACACCACAGGUAAUGUACCGGUUCUCGUCCGAUCACCGAAGUCAAGCCCUGUUGGGCGGCGUCAGUACUUGGCUGGGUGACCACCUGGGAAUACGCCGUGUUGUAGACUCUU